rnacentral:rRNA from 1 species
CCUACGGGAGACAGCAGUGAGGAAUAUUGGUCAAUGGGCGCGAGCCUGAACCAGCCAAGUCGCGUGAGGGAGGACGGCCCUACGGGUUGUAAACCUCUUUUGCCGGGGAGCAACGGGCGCCACGUGUGGCGUCACUGAGAGUACCCGGAGAAAAAGCAUCGGCUAACACCGUGCCAGCAGCCGCGGUAAUACGGAGGAUGCGAUCGUUAUCCGGAUUUAUUGGGUUUAAAGGGUGCGUAGGCGGAUCGUUAAGCCAGUGGUCAAAUUGAGGGGCUCAACCCCUUCCCGCCAUUGAAACUGGCGUUCUUGAGUGGAAGAGAAGUAUGCGGAAUGCGUGGGGUAGCGGUGAAAUGCAUAGAUAUCACGCAGAACCCCGAUUGCGAAGGCAGCAUGCCGGCUUCCGACUGACGCUGAAGCACGAAAGCGUGGGGAUCGAACAGGAUUAGAUACCCUGGUAGUC